UUAGUGAAUAAAAUUCACUUAAAAUUUCAAAAGGAAAUUAUUUUAAAAGAAUUUGUAAAUAAAAAAAAUAUAAUUAAAAAUAAAUAAUUAUAAUUUUUAAAAUAAAAUAAAAAUUUAAGCUUAAACCGUUUGCGGUGUAAAAGUUAAUUCCGAAUAUUUAAAAAAAAACUACAAAAACGAAUCAUAUUUUAGCAUCCUGGUCUGUUGGAGGUUUUGUAAAACUGAGGAUUAUAUAAAACAGUUCAAAACCAGGACACUAAAAAAUACCAAUAACUAUCUAUCGAUGUUUUAUUUGCAUCAAUAUCAGCCACAAAGAGGAUUACUUUAAAAGCUUUAAAAUUACCACUGAAAAAGGAAUAAUAUAACUCCCAUCAAAACCACAACAGAAUAAAGUUAAAACUUUGCAAAACCAAAAGUUAACGAAAAAUCGGGCGCGUCUUCUAACGAUCGAUCUCAUAAAAUAGUGUUGAAAUUACGGUCGGUACGCAGAACAAACAAGUAUUUAUUUUAAAAUGUCGCCUUAAUAAUGCUCGAAUUAAUAAAACGGUUAAAAAUUUAAAAAUAAUCAAGUGUUUUAAAUAAAAAAAUAACCACGGAAAAUAAAAUUUCAAAAAUCUCCCC
rnacentral:lncRNA from 1 species